rnacentral:rRNA from 1 species
GGGAUAACUCCGGGAAACCGGAGCUAAUACCGGAUAGUUCCUUGAACCGCAUGGUUCAAGGAUGAAAGACGGUUUCGGCUGUCACUUACAGAUGGACCCGCGGCGCAUUAGCUAGUUGGUGAGGUAACGGCUCACCAAGGCGACGAUGCGUAGCCGACCUGAGAGGGUGAUCGGCCACACUGGGACUGAGACACGGCCCAGACUCCUACGGGAGGCAGCAGUAGGGAAUCUUCCGCAAUGGACGAAAGUCUGACGGAGCAACGCCGCGUGAGUGAUGAAGGUUUUCGGAUCGUAAAGCUCUGUUGUUAGGGAAGAACAAGUGCAAGAGUAACUGCUUGCACCUUGACGGUACCUAACCAGAAAGCCACGGCUAACUACGUGCCAGCAGCCGCGGUAAUACGUAGGUGGCAAGCGUUGUCCGGAAUUAUUGGGCGUAAAGGGCUCGCAGGCGGUUUCUUAAGUCUGAUGUGAAAGCCCCCGGCUCAACCGGGGAGGGUCAUUGGAAACUGGGAAACUUGAGUGCAGAAGAGGAGAGUGGAAUUCCACGUGUAGCGGUGAAAUGCGUAGAGAUGUGGAGGAACACCAGUGGCGAAGGCGACUCUCUGGUCUGUAACUGACGCUGAGGAGCGAAAGCGUGGGGAGCGAACAGGAUUAGAUACCCUGGUAGUCCACGCCGUAAACGAUGAGUGCUAAGUGUUAGGGGGUUUCCGCCCCUUAGUGCUGCAGCUAACGCAUUAAGCACUCC